rnacentral:rRNA from 1 species
UACAGAGGUCUCAAGCGUUGUUCGGAUUCAUUGGGCGUAAAGGGUGCGUAGGCGGCGCGGUAAGUCGGGGUGUGAAAUCUCGGAGCUUAACUCCGAAACUGCAUUCGAUACUGCGGUGCUUGAGGACUGGAGAGGAGACUGGAAUUCAUGGUGUAGCAGUGAAAUGCGUAGAGAUCAUGAGGAAGACCAGUGGCGAAGGCGGGUCUCUGGGCAGCAUCUGACACUGAGGCACGAAGGCCAGGGGGAGCAAACGGG